UACAGAGGGGUGCAAGCGUUUGUUCGGAAUUAUUGGGCGUAAAGCGCGUGUAGGCGGCUUUGCAAGUCGGGUGUGAAAGCCCUCAGCUUAACUGAGGAAGUGCGCCCGAAACUGCAGAGCUUGAGUACCGGAGAGGAUGGUGGAAUUCCCCAAGUAGAGGUGAAAUUCGUAGAUAUGGGGAGGAACACCGGUGGCGAAGGCGACCAUCUGGACGGAUACUGACGCUGAGACGCGAAAGCGUGGGUAGCAAACAGG
rnacentral:rRNA from 1 species